rnacentral:rRNA from 1 species
UGCGAAGGGGGCUAGCGUUGCUCGGAAUUACUGGGCGUAAAGGGCGCGUAGGCGGCACUGUUAGUCAGGCGUGAAAGUCCUGGGCUCAACCUGGGAACUGCGCUUGAUACGGCAGAGCUAGAGGAUGGAAGAGGGUCGCGGAAUUCCCAGUGUAGAGGUGAAAUUCGUAGAUAUUCGGAGGAACACCAGUGGCGAAGGCGGCUCACUGGUCCAUUACUGACGCUGAGGUGCGAAAGCGUGGGGAGCAAACAGG